rnacentral:rRNA from 1 species
GACGAACGCUGGCGGCGUGCUUAACACAUGCAAGUCGAACGGAAAGGCCCCUUUGGGGGUACUCGAGUGGCGAACGGGUGAGUAACACGUGAGUAACCUGCCCUUGACUUCGGGAUAACUUCAGGAAACUGGGGCUAAUACCGGAUAGGAAUCCUUGCUGCAUGGUGGGGGUUGGAAAGCUUCGGCGGUUUUGGAUGGACUCGCGGCUUAUCAGCUUGUUGGUGGGGUAGUGGCUUACCAAGGCUUUGACGGGUAGCCGGCCUGAGAGGGCGACCGGCCACAUUGGGACUGAGAUACGGCCCAGACUCCUACGGGAGGCAGCAGUGGGGAAUAUUGAACAAUGGGCGGAGGCCGGAUGCAGCAACGCCGCGUGCGGGAUGACGGCCUUCGGGUUGUAAACCGCUUUCAGCAGGGGCGAAGCUUGUGGUGACGGUACCUGCAGAAGAAGCACCGGCUAACUACGUG